CCUGGCACCGGUCAUCUGUCUGCUCAGUGAGUGGGAGGGCUGGUACCUUCUCUUGUUUCUGAGACCCAGGUAGCAAAGGAGUUUGAGUUUGCAGUUGGAAUCAAAGGCUCUCCAACAAGGAAACAACUAAGUGUGUUCCUGCAAGACCUCUCUUUCCCUAGGGGAAAACAGAGACAUCUCAUCACAGAUAGCUCUAGGUUUGCCUUGGCCAUGAUGUCCAAGUGGUCUGCUUGGUUCCAUGCCUGCGUCUGAGCUGGCUCUGUGGGAGGUGCCAAGCUGCCUUCGACACUGUGCAUGGCACUUUAAAGCUCUCAAUAAAUAUUUUUCAAGUGAAGUCAAUGAAGCAAGAAAGAAUCUCAACUAGUUUUGAGGUAAUGGUUCAAGAUGACAUUCUUUCUCCCUAAGGCAAUAACUCUCAAAGCAGCGGUGGAGAAAAGCAACCACUUCUUGGCAGGGAGGGGAAUGAUUUUUUUUUUGCUGGGGGUCAGUCAUGGGAAAGGUGGCAAGGGGAGGAAGGUAAAUUUAAUUUGAAAAGUCAUGUCCAGUAUAAUUACUAUGUCAAAGACUGACAGUUUGGUCCUCAAUUUCUAACUAAGCACAUUGCUGCUGAGAAUAAGGACUAUAUUUUCCAAUUAUGUGUGGCCAUGUGAUUAAGUUUUGGUGAAUGGAAUAUAAGUGGAAUUGUGUGGCAGCUUCUAGAAACUUUUCUUAAGUCAGCUGGCAUAUGCCUUUUGCCCCUUUCUUCUGUAUGCUGACCUGCUUCUUGGAUCACAGGUGUGAUAGAUGGAGUGAGAACGGGAUUUCUCAACCUCCACACCGUUCCCAUUUUGGGCUUAGAUAAUUCCUUGUUGCCAGGGGUUGUAGGACAUUUAGCAGCACCCCUGGCCUCUACUUUUUUGAUGCCAUUGCACCUCGUCCCCAUUAUGACAAUAAAAAUGUCUCCAGACAUUGUCAACUGUCCUUUAGGGGGGAAAUUAUCCCUGAUGAAGAGCCACUGAUCCAGAACCAUCUUAGACUGGGAGGUCCUCUUGGGAAAGAGGGAAAAAGCCUGGGUCCUCAACUACUUGGUGGGGCACCAGCCACAGACAGCCUGCCUCCAGAUUUUCCAAAUAGGAGAAAGAAAUUACCCACUAUUACUUUGAGUCUAUGCUAGUUGCAGUCAUACUUAAUUCUAAUUGGUUAAAUUGUCUGUAUUUUGAAAUACAAAAUAAAGCUCAAUAGAAUUUAUUCGGCAGCCAUAACAAAUGAAAUCAUGUCCUUUGCAGCAAUAUGGAUGGAAUUGGAGGGCAGUAUCCUUAGUGAACUAACUCAGGAAAUCAAAUACCACGUGUUUUCACUCAUAAGUGGGAGAUAAACAAUGGGUAAACAUGAACACAAAGAUAGAAAUAAUAGACAGUGGGGACUCCUGAAGGGGGGAGGUUGGGAGGAGGGCGAGGGUUGAAAAAUUACCCAUUGAGUACAAUGUUCACUAUUUGGGUAAAGGGUACAGUAGAAGCCCAAUCCCCACAAAUACAAAAUAUACUCAUGUAACAAACAUGCACAUGUACCCCC
rnacentral:lncRNA from 10 species